AUUUGUCACGAAAAUCCAACCAUUCAUACUGAAACUAACAUAAAAAUCAUUGACAUUUCCUGAAUCAAGAAAAAAGAAUUAAAAAAGAAAAUAAAAGAAACCUAUUGGCUAACUGAGAAGGCAAUAAAAAUGUGAAACGUCGCUAUAAACUCCUGCGCAGCUAUUUUAAUUAAAAACGAGCCAAUAUCGUCGAAGCCAAUACGCUGCAACACAUUACAAUAUGAAUAUUUUGUAUUACUUUUUAGCUUGCUUUGUGUUUUUGUUAAGCACUGUGGAAUCUGCGCCUCAGGUUCCUUACGACUACAUCCCAAUAGGGCGCGAUAGUCGCCGGAAUGUUAACCUUGGACACCCACACGACGUGAAUUUGAACUACGAGCGCCUAUUUCCAUCCAGACGCAAAUACAUCGACUCACCCGCCGUACAUUUUGAUCCAGAUCUAGAUUUUGUUAAGAAAUAAUCAUUAUUUUAUUAAUAAAUCGAUUUUUAGUGAUGUGACACACUAUG